rnacentral:rRNA from 1 species
UGCAAGUCGAACGCGAAAGUAGCCGCAAGGCUGCGAGUAGAGUGGCGAAAGGGUGAGUAAUGCUUGGAUGACCUACCCUCGAGACGGGGAUAACAGUUCGAAAGGACUGCUAAUACCCGAUAGUCCGACUCGGAUGCGUCCGGAUCGGUAAACGGUUGAUUCCGCUCGUGGAGGGGUCCAAGUCCUAUCAGCUAGUUGGUGAGGUAACGGCUCACCAAGGCUACGACGGGUAGGCGGUCUGAGAGGACGACCGCCCACAUCGGGACUGAGACACUGCCCGGACUCCUACGGGAGGCUGCAGUCGAGAAUCUUCUGCAAUGGGGGCAACCCUGACAGAGCGACGCCGCGUGGAGGAUGAAGGCCCUCGGGUUGUAAACUCCUGUCACAUGUUAAGAAUCGCACGAGUUCACUCGUGCGUUGACUAAGGCAUGAGAGGAAGUCACGGCUAACUUCGUGCCAGCAGCCGCGGUAAGACGAAGGUGGCAAGCGUUAUUCGGAUUUACUGGGCAUAAAGCGCGCGUAGGCGGCUUGGCAAGUCGGGGGUGAAAGCCCGCAGCUCAACUGCGGAACUGCCUUCGAUACUGCCGAGCUUGAGGGCGGGAGGGGUGAUUGGAACUCCAGGUGUAGCGGUGAAAUGCGUAGAUAUCUGGAGGAACACCGGAGGCGAAGGCGAAUCACUGGACCGCAUCUG